rnacentral:rRNA from 1 species
ACAUCCAGAGAACUUAGCAGAGAUGCUUUGGUGCCUUCGGGAACUCUGAGACAGGUGCUGCAUGGCUGUCGUCAGCUCGUGUUGUGAAAUGUUGGGUUAAGUCCCGNAACGAGCGCAACCCUUAUCCUUUGUUGCCAGCGGUUCGGCCGGGAACUCAAAGGAGACUGCCGGUGAUAAACCGGAGGAAGGUGGGGAUGACGUCAAGUCAUCAUGGCCCUUACGGCCAGGGCUACACACGUGCUACAAUGGCGCAUACAAAGAGAAGCGACCUCGCGAGAGCAAGCGGACCUCAUAAAGUGCGUCGUAGUCCGGAUUGGAGUCUGCAACUCGACUCCAUGAAGUCGGAAUCGCUAGUAAUCGUAGAUCAGAAUGCUACGGUGAAUACGUUCCCGGGCCUUGUACACACCGCCCGUCACACCAUGGGAGUGGGUUGCAAAAGAAGUGGGUAGCUUAACCUUCGGGAGGGCGCUUACCACUUUGUGAUUCAUGACUGGGGUGAAGUCGUAACAAGGUAGGCGUAGCGAG